GGGGAAUAUUGGGCAAUGGGCGAAAGCCUGACCCAGCAACGCCGCGUGAAGGAAGAAGGCCCUCGGGUUGUAAACUUCUUUUAUUCGGGACGAAACAAAUGACGGUACCGAAUGAAUAAGCCACGGCUAACUACGUGCCAGCAGCCGCGGUAAUACGUAGGUGGCGAGCGUUAUCCGGAUUUACUGGGUGUAAAGGGCGUGUAGGCGGGACUGCAAGUCAGAUGUGAAAAUUAUGGGCUCAACCCAUAACCUGCAUUUGAAACUGUAGUUCUUGAGUGAUGGAGAGGCAGGCGGAAUUCCGUGUGUAGCGGUGAAAUGCGUAGAUAUAACGAGGAACUCCGAUUGCGUAGGCAGCUUACUAAGCCAUAACUGACGCUCAUGCACGAAAGCGUGGGGAUCAAACA
rnacentral:rRNA from 1 species